UACGUAGGGGGCAAGCGUUGUCCGGAUUUAUUGGGCGUAAAGAGCGUGUAGGCGGCCAGGUAGGUCAGCUGUGAAAACUCGAGGCUCAACCUCGAGACGCCGGUUGAAACCAUCUGGCUGGAGUCCGGAAGAGGAGAGUGGAAUUCCUGGUGUAGCGGUGAAAUGCGCAGAUAUCAGGAAGAACACCCGUGGCUAAGGCGGCUCUCUAGUACGGUACUGACGCUGAGACGCGAAAGCGUGGGGAGCGAACAGG
rnacentral:rRNA from 1 species